GGCUGUGAGGGUGGCCCGGUCCCUGCUGCAAAGGUUUUUUUGCUCCGCAACGAGAACGCACUCCGGAAGAGUAGAGCCAAGAGAAACCAGUUGUGGUGGACAACUUUUGAGCCCUUCGUGGUGAUGCCAGUCAUGAUUUUCCACUGACACAAGGUGCUCCAUGAUAUUGCGUGGGCUUCUAAUAAACGUCCAGUAAACCGCAGGUAGCGCCUCAGAGAGGGAUGGGCCCGUGCACCUGUCCACAAAGGGCCUCCACACGCCGCACCUCCACCUUCUGUCGCCCAGCCCUGGCACAGCCAGCUUCGGAGACGAGCCUGCCCCUCGGGACGCCCGCAGGGCCACAGCAGUUGGGGCCGUGGCUUAUCCAUCAUUUUCGCAAAGAUCUCCGUCUGAGAAAUGGAACGAGUCAGCCCUGCCCAGCGGGGGAGGAAAAUGAGCGGC